GUGACUGCGUACCUUUUGUAUAAUGGGUCAGCGACUUAUAUUCUGUAGCAAGGUUAACCGAAUAGGGGAGCCGGAGGGAAACCGAGUCUUAAUUGGGCGUUAAGUUGCAGGGUAUAGACCCGAAACCCGGUGAUCUAGCCAUGGGCAGGUUGAAGGUUGGGUAACACUAACUGGAGGACCGAACCGACUAAUGUUGAAAAAUUAGCGGAUGACCUGUGGCUGGGGGUGAAAGGCCAAUCAAACCGGGAGAUAGCUGGUUCUCCCCGAAAGCUAUUUAGGUAGCGCCUCGUGAAUUCAUCUCCGGGGGUAGAGCACUGUUUCGGCUAGGGGGCCAUCCCGGCUUACCAACCCGAUGCAAACUGCGAAUACCGGAGAAUGUUAUCACGGGAGACACACGGCGGGUGCUAACGUCCGUCGUGAAGAGGGAAACAACCCAGACCGCCAGCUAAGGUCCCAAAGUCAUGGUUAAGUGGGAAACGAUGUGGGAAGGCCCAGACAGCCAGGAUGUUGGCUUAGAAGCAGCCAUCAUUUAAAGAAAGCGUAAUAGCUCACUGGUCGAGUCGGCCUGCGCGGAAGAUGUAACGGGGCUAAACCAUGCACCGAAGCUGCGGCAGCGACGUUUAUGCGUUGUUGGGUAGGGGAGCGUUCUGUAAGCCUGCGAAGGUGGCCUGUGAGGGUUGCUGGAGGUAUCAGAAGUGCGAAUGCUGACAUAAGUAACGAUAAAGCGGGUGAAAAGCCCGCUCGCCGG
rnacentral:rRNA from 1 species